rnacentral:rRNA from 1 species
CCUACGGGCGGCAGCAGUCGAGAAUCAUUCACAAUGGGGGAAACCCUGAUGGUGCGACGCCGCGUGGGGGAAUGAAGGUCUUCGGAUUGUAAACCCCUGUCAUGUGGGAGCAAAUUAAAAAGAUAGUACCACAAGAGGAAGAGACGGCUAACUCUGUGCCAGCAGCCGCGGUAAUACAGAGGUCUCAAGCGUUGUUCGGAAUCACUGGGCGUAAAGCGUGCGUAGGCUGUUUCGUAAGUCGUGUGUGAAAGGCGCGGGCUCAACCCGCGGACGGCACAUGAUCCUGCGAGACUAGAGUAAGGGAGGGGGAACCGGAAUUCUCGGUGUAGCAGUGAAAUGCGUAGAUAUCGAGAGGAACACUCGUGGCGAAGGCGGGUUCCUGGACAUUAACUGACGCUGAGGCACGAAGGCCAGGGGAGCGAAAGGGAUUAGAUACCCCUGUAGUC